rnacentral:lncRNA from 1 species
GUUCCUCAGCUCAUUUCCUUUCCUCAAGCUCUCUAAGAGGCGGAAUUCACGGGCCAGUAGCGAAGGAGGAAAGAGAACGAGAUAAGAGAGGGUUCGUUGGCGGUGGCUGCGCAGGUCGAAAUGGCAGCGUGAUGGAGGCACGGCCAGGUUUGGCUCCUACUGCUGUGUCGUCCCAGCUUCGUGGCCCUUGGGUCCCACAGUCCCAAGAAGAGCACGAAGACCUGUGAAUUAGGGCUCUGGCUGGGCGGGCAGAAGCCGCUGAUUUAAUUUUGUUUCUGGAGCACUCCAAUCAGAAGGCCACCCGGUCAGGAGCCACCGAAGGCGAAGCUGGCUG